GGAUAUGGGUUUUAGCAACCCAGAUCAUCAAAUGACACCCUCUAACAUAACUCUAAACAACAAAUUACACAAUCAAACAUCAAAUCCUAUGAUUUAGAAAUUUUAGGGUUUAUACCUCCUUUAAAGCUUGAUCUAGAUUCUGAUCUUUGAGUUCUGAUCUUGCUAAGAUAAGAACUGAUAUUGGAUUAUCCUAUCACACUCUCUCACUCUAAAUUUCGAAGUUGAAGAGAGAGAAUGGGCUUGGAGAAAAUUAAAAUGAAAGUAUGCAUUAUCUCUUUCUUAAUCUAUAUAAAUGGCAUGAUUCAAUGUAUUUACUAGAUGUGUUGGCUGAUUGCUGAGAUUUGUAGAACAUGCUAGGCUUAGGGUUGGUGAACAACCCACAUUAGCUCAAGAUCAACACACCAACUCAUUAAAGAAUUGCAAAAAGGGUAAAAUGGUCAUUUCCAAACAAUUUUAAUUUUAGAAUUGUCAUUUGAUGCAAACCCUUAGGGUUUGACCCUUAG
rnacentral:lncRNA from 1 species